AUACGUAUGUCCCGAGCGUUAUCCGGAUUUAUUGGGCGUAAAGCGAGCGCAGACGGUUAAUUAAGUCUGAUGUGAAAGCCCGGAGCUCAACUCCGGAAAGGCAUUGGAAACUGGUUAACUUGAGUGCAGUAGAGGUAAGUGGAACUCCAUGUGUAGCGGUGGAAUGCGUAGAUAUAUGGAAGAACACCAGUGGCGAAGGCGGCUUACUGGACUGUAACUGACGUUGAGGCUCGAAAGUGUGGGUAGCAAACAGGAUUAGAUACCCUGGUAGUCCACACCGUAAACGAUGAACACUAGGUGUUAGGAGGUUUCCGCCUCUUAGUGCCGAAGCUAACGCAUUAAGUGUUCCGCCUGGGGAGUACGACCGCAAGGUUGAA
rnacentral:rRNA from 1 species